rnacentral:rRNA from 1 species
GGAUUAGGCAUGCAAGUCGAACGAGGUAUAUCCUUCGGGAUAUAAACCGAGUGGCAUAAGGGUGAGUAAUGCAUAGAUUACCUACCUUUAGGAUAAGGACAACUUUGUGAAAACGGAGCUAAUACUUAAUAAUACAAAAGAAAAUAAUUUUCUUUUGUCAAAGGGAGGGUAGCAGUACCUUUUGCCUAAAGAGGGGUUUAUGUCCUAUCAGCUUGUUGGUAGGGUAACGGCCUACCAAGGCGAAGACGGGUAGUCGGCCUUAGAGGGUAGUCGGCCACACUGGAACUGAGACACUGUCCAGACUUCUACGGAAGGCUGCAGUCGAGAAUCUUUCGCAAUGCCCGAAAGG